rnacentral:tRNA from 1 species
UGACGGUCUGCGGCGGGUUGCCCGCGCGGCUCUUCCGGAUCUCCUUCUCGGGGGAGCUGGCCUAUGAGCUGGCGGUGCCGGCCCGCUAUGGUCAU